rnacentral:lncRNA from 1 species
AAAAUAUAAUUUAAUAAACUUUAAAAAAAAACAAAACAAACCUAAAAAAAUAUAAACUAGGCUCAAACCCUAUUAUUUUUGGUCUCGAAUCUUUGUACUAAAUCAUAAACAAAAUUAAGUAUUUGAACUUAAUAGGAAUUAACACGACUUUAUGUGAGUUAUCAAAGCAAGAAUAUGAGUCAUAAUAGCAUUUAUGUUGAGCUCUCAUUCUAACUAAAACGGUAAAUUAUUUUACAGAUAAUCAAUUAAUAAAAAGCAUUAAACAUAUAACGAUAAAUCAUGCAUCAUAGAAAUUCUCCAAAUGUUAAAACUAAUUCAAAAUAUAAGUAUUCAAUUUCAAUUACUCAUCCCUAAUGAAUUGAAGAUUAGAAAGGAUUACACAUAGUAUACUAAUUGAGAAAUCUAAAUAUCUAUAAUACAUUAAACAAACGAUCCCCAAUGACUCGUUUUACCAGAGAGCGUGUUAACCUGCAAAAACAAAACAAAAAGAGCAGCAAAAAUGCAUUAAUGUAAUUAACAAAAGAAAACAUAAUUAGAAGAAAAAAAUGCAGGGUAGGGAAUAUGAUAUUUGGGCAGCCCGCGUGGCCAUCACUGCCACCCAGCGCAACUAAUACGAAAGGGGCUCUGACCGCGGGCAGUCUUCAUCGCAGAGUUCCGACGGGAAAACGAUCUCCAUCUCACACUCGGGGUGGAUACGGGGCAGAGUCAUCCGCAAGCGGAGGCUCCGCCGUCAGCGUCUCCGACGGGAGUGAGAUUGAAGAUUUAAAAUGUGCCGUGGCUUCUCUGCUCAGAUAAGAUCAAGUAGUGUUUAGGUCUAACUUAGGUUUUGUGUUCUUUUUAUAUGCCAGUUC